CGAGUAAUGAUCGUCAGGGGUAUGGUGGAUCCCGUUGGGGGCCUCCCAGAAAUGACUAUCGGUCUGGGUAUGGUGUUGGUGGUGUUGGUGGUAGAACUGGCGGUUGGGGCAACAGAAGUGGUGGCUGGGAUCGUGGGAGAGAGAGGGAAGUUAACCCAUUCGGUGAUGAUGAUGAUACAGAGCAGGCAUUUUCUGAGCAAGAGAAUACUGGUAUUAACUUUGAUGCAUACGAGGAUAUUCCAGUUGAGACAAGUGGGGAAAAUGUCCCUCCACCUGUAAAUACCUUUGCAGAGAUUGACUUGGGUGAAGCAUUAAAUCAGAACAUCCGCAGGUGCAAAUAUGUGAAACCAACUCCUGUGCAACGGCAUGCAAUCCCAAUAUCUCUUGCAGGCCGGGAUCUGAUGGCAUGUGCCCAAACUGGUUCUGGCAAGACUGCCGCAUUCUGUUUCCCAAUUAUUAGUGGAAUUAUGAAAAUGCAAGGGCAGAGUGCACAGAGGCCACUGCGUGGUGCACGUACAGUGUACCCUCUAGCUCUUAUUCUUUCUCCAACCAGGGAGCUUUCAAUGCAGAUACAUGAGGAAGCAAGGAAAUUCUCUUAUCAAACAGGUGUUAAGGUAGUCGUUGCUUAUGGAGGAGCACCACUUAAUCAACAGCUACGGGAACUGGAGAGAGGUGUUGAUAUUCUUGUAGCAACUCCGGGAAGACUAGUAGAUUUAUUGGAGAGAGCUAGAGUUUC
rnacentral:misc_RNA from 1 species